rnacentral:lncRNA from 1 species
AUGAGAGUAACGUGUGCUUGUACACGGCUCACUGCGGCAUGUCAGGCAGGCAGCUUCUGUUUUGUUGUUACGGGUUGUUGCCACCCUUCAGAAUUUCCCAGAGGAGGGGAUCCGCGUGUCUCUAUGUUCAAAUAUGCCCAAGCUCCAGAGAGUCCGUGCAGGUGUGCUCAAGAACCCAGAUGCUGCGUUCCGCUUCGAUGGGAGAGCCGGGAGGGCUGGCUGGCGUCAGUAACGCUGACCCUGGGUCUUGUCUGCCAAGCCUAUUCGGACAUGGACAUCUUUGGGGGACCGUUAUUCUGCUUACACAGUAGGGCCCCCAAAAGAGAAAGCAGUUUACAGUCGUGCUCGGCCUGUGGUGUUGAAGCGAUGGUCCCGGUUGCAGCAGCUGCUCUGCGUUCCCGGUUCUGUAUCAGGAAGGCUAGCGUGCCGUCCUCAAGGGUUUCCGUAAACAGGCUCUGUGCGUCAAAGCUGCUGUGUCCCAUCGGAGGAACCAAUCAUCCAUGUCACUGACAGUGUUGGUUGGGCAUCCGGGAAAGCUGAAAAUUAAAGCUCUGUAAAGAGGCAUUUGUAAGUUAUGCACAGAGUGAUUGUCAAGACUAUUUAGAAGCCAUAGAGAGCUUUAAACUGAAGCCCUGAUAUCUCCAAUAACUAGAGGAGUAUCAUGCUUGUACUUGAAAGGUAAUAAAGAUAAUUUUUGAAAAUCUACAUUUUUUUUGGCCCGUGAAUUGAAACUCAACUGUUUCACAAUAGAAAAAUUAGAAAGGACAAAGAAAAACCAUUUCUAUAUAGAGUCUCUGUAUACAGGUAACUAAUCACAUUUGUAGUUCAUUAAUAUCUUGUUUAUGAAAAAAAAAAAUCAGUUCCAGACCUUCAGGGUUCCUUCUAACUCAGGGGGCUGUAUAAAAUCUUCUCAAUUUAAAUAGCAUCUUAAAAGGGUUAGUGUCCCUUGGUAAAAAGAAAACAUCUCCUCAUUACCAAUUAAAGGACUCCCGAAGUCUUUGAAAAGAGGACUUGUUUGCUUAAAAUACGUGAAGGUCACGCUCACCCUGUAACAGUCAAUGAGGAGUAGUCAUUUGUUAUUUUUAAACAGGCUGUCAUUUAGCCAUUAUGAAGAUGAAUAACAUUUGUUAUUAGCUAAUAAUCUUCCUGUUGAUUACAGAGAAAAGACACUUGCAGACACCUUAUGUGCC